rnacentral:rRNA from 1 species
AUUGAACGCUGGCGGCAGGCUUAACACAUGCAAGUCGAGCGGAGAUGAGGUGCUUGCACCUUAUCUUAGCGGCGGACGGGUGAGUAAUGCUUAGGAAUCUGCCUAUUAGUGGGGGACAACAUUCCGAAAGGAAUGCUAAUACCGCAUACGUCCUACGGGAGAAAGCAGGGGAUCUUCGGACCUUGCGCUAAUAGAUGAGCCUAAGUCGGAUUAGCUAGUUGGUGGGGUAAAGGCCUACCAAGGCGACGAACUGUAGCGGGUCUGAGAGGAUGAUCCGCGCCACUGGGACUGAGACGCGGCCCAGACUCCUUCGGGAGGCAGCAGUGGGGAAUAUUGGACAAUGGGGGGAACCCUGAUCCAGCCAUGCCGCGUGUGUGAAGAAGGCCUUAUGGUUGUAAAGCACUUUAAGCGAGGAGGAGGCUACUGAGACUAAUACUCUUGGAUAGUGGACGUUACUCGCAGAAUAAGCACCGGCUAACUCUGUGCCAGCCGCCGCAGUAACAC